AAGGAACUCUUCUAAUCCUGCAACCCUCUUGUAGCCUAUCAACCAUCAUACUCGAAUAGGAGUUAACCACCUUACUUGAAUGGGAGCUAUCUUUAGAUUCUUACCCUUCUGAGUCCCUCAAGCCCGAUCCUCUUUUCUUGGAGUUUAGAGGUGGGAGAAUUAAAACUUCAAAAUUUGAAUAUACUCUUUCACACUUUUAAAUUGAAGAAUCUCCCUUUAGAUCUUCAAAAAUUCAAGGAAAUCUCUUCCAAUAGCUCAUUGUAUGCCCCAGUAGUUGAGAGAGAGAGAAAAGAAGGAAA
rnacentral:misc_RNA from 1 species